rnacentral:rRNA from 1 species
GAUGAACGCUGGCGGCGUGCCUAAUACAUGCAAGUCGAGCGAACAGACGAGGAGCUUGCUCCUCUGACGUAGCGGCGGACGGGUGAGUAACACGUGGAUAACCUACCUAUAAGACUGGGAUAACUUCGGGAAACCGGAGCUAAUACCGGAUAAUAUAUUGAACCGCAUGGUUCAAUAGUGAAAGACGGUUUUGCUGGCACUUAUAGAUGGAUCCGCGCCGCAUUAGCUAGAUGGUAAGGUAACGGCUUACCAAGGCAACGAUGCGUAGCCGACCUGAGAGGGUGAUCGGCCACACUGGAACUGAGACACGGUCCAGACUCCUACGGGAGGCAGCAGUAGGGAAUCUUCCGCAAUGGGCGAAAGCCUGACGGAGCAACGCCGCGUGAGUGAUGAAGGUCUUCGGAUCGUAAAACUCUGUUAUUAGGGAAGAACAAAUGUGUAAGUAACUAUGCACGUCUUGACGGUACCUAAUCAGAAAGCCACGGCUAACUACGUG